rnacentral:lncRNA from 1 species
UGAAGAGGGUGAGAGAGUCCAUCUUCAAAAGGGUAUUCUGGAGCUCCCACAUUUUUGCUAAGAAAGGCUGUCAGGAGAAGGAGACAGACUCUCUGGGUCUAAGAACUACGGGCCCCAGGAGAAUUUUCAGUCAACGUGGAAAUGCCAAGGAGGAUGAGGAGGUCUUUCCGAGAUUCAACAGGGUCUUCAUGAAAUCUCUGAAAUAUCUGUAUUGUGUUGGUCCCCCAAGUUUCUUUUGUGAAGAUGGGAGCAACAUGUGAUAUUCCCACUUCCUCUUUUUAAAACCAUCACUGGGCUGUCAUUUCAGCAACAUCUUAACAAAUGAAAAUCCUCCUCUGAGUCAAUAGUAAUUAUAGGAAUUUAUCACAAUUGCCAAUCAAGGUGUUCUGAAGAGACUCAUCUUUCUUGUUAAAUUAGCUUUCACUGCACGCAAACAGUGAGUUAUCUUUAG